CCAAUAGCGUAUAUUAAAGUUGCUGCAGUUAAAAAGCUCGUAGUUGAAUUUCGGGACCAAUGUGUCGGUCGUGCUUCGGUACGUACUGGCAUCGUUGGUUUCUCCUUUCUGAAGAACCAUGAUGUCAUUUAUUUGGUGUUGUGGGGAAUCAGGACUGUUACUUUGAAAAAAUUAGAGUGUUUAAAGCAGGCUCACGCUUGAAUACAUUAGCAUGGAAUAAUGAAAUAGGACGUUUGAUUCUAUUUUGUUGGUUUCUAGGAUCGACGUAAUGAUUAAUAGGGAUAGUUGGGGGCAUUAGUAUUCAAUUGUCAGAGGUGAAAUUCUUGGAUUUAUUGAAGACUAACUACUGCGAAAGCAUUUGCCAAGGAUGUUUUCAUUAAUCAAGAACGAAAGUUAGGGGAUCGAAGACGAUCAGAUACCGUCGUAGUCUUAACCAUAAACUAUGCCGACUAGGGAUCGGAUGAUGUUAAUUUUUUAAUGACUCAUUCGGCGCCUUACG
rnacentral:rRNA from 1 species